GACGAACGCUGGCGGCGUGCUUAACACAUGCAAGUCGAACGGAAAGGCCCUGCUUUUGUGGGGUGCUCGAGUGGCGAACGGGUGAGUAACACGUGAGUAACCUGCCCUUGACUUUGGGAUAACUUCAGGAAACUGGGGCUAAUACCGGAUAGGAGCUCCUGCUGCAUGGUGGGGGUUGGAAAGUUUCGGCGGUUGGGGAUGGACUCGCGGCUUAUCAGCUUGUUGGUGGGGUAGUGGCUUACCAAGGCUUUGACGGGUAGCCGGCCUGAGAGGGUGACCGACCACAUUGGGACUGAGAUACGGCCCAGACUCCUACGGGAGGCAGCAGUGGGGAAUAUUGCACAAUGGGCGGAAGCCUGAUGCAGCAACGCCGCGUGCGGGAUGACGGCCUUCGGGUUGUAAACCGCUUUCGCCUGUGACGAAACGUGAGUGACGGUAAUGGGUAAAGAAGCACCGGCUAACUACGUG
rnacentral:rRNA from 1 species